rnacentral:misc_RNA from 1 species
AACGCACCUUGCGCCCUUUGGUAUUCCGAAGGGCAUGCCUGUUUGAGUGUUAUUAAUACCUCACUCUUGAAGUCUUUCAUUAGACGUCAAGAUGUGGACUUUGGAGGUUUUUGCAGGCCAUCACUGGUCAGCUCCUCUUAAAUGUAUUAGCGGAACUCUAUGCAGUACCGGCUUCGGUUUGAUAAUCCUAUCUAUGCUGUCGCUGUGAACUGUGCUGUUUGGCUUAUAAUUGUCUUCGGACUGCCUUUAACUUGGCAUAAUAUUUAAGCUUAACCUCAAAUCAGGUAGGACUACCCGCUGAACUUAA